rnacentral:rRNA from 1 species
UACGUAGGGUGCGAGCGUUGACCGGAUUUAUUGGGCUUAAAGGGUGCGCAGGCGGCUUUGUAAGAUAGCGGUGAAAACAUCGGGCUCAACCUGGGAACCGCCUUUGUUACUGCAUGACUUGAGUGCGGCAGAGGGUGUUGGAAUUUGUCGUGUAGCGGUGAAAUGCUUAGAUAUGCGGCAGAACACCGAUGGCGAAGGCAAAUCCCUGGGUCGGGACUGACGCUCAGGCACGAAAGCGUGGGGAGCAAACAGG